rnacentral:rRNA from 1 species
CCUACGGGAGGCUGCAGUGGGGAAUAUUGGACAAUGGGCGAAAGCCUGAUCCAGCCAUGCCGCGUGUGUGAAGAAGGCCUUCGGGUUGUAAAGCACUUUCAGUGGGGAAGAAAGCCUUGGGGCUAAUACCCUCGAGGAAGGACAUCACCCACAGAAGAAGCACCGGCUAACUCCGUGCCAGCAGCCGCGGUAAUACGGAGGGUGCGAGCGUUAAUCGGAAUUACUGGGCGUAAAGCGCGCGUAGGCGGUCUGAUAAGCCGGUUGUGAAAGCCCCGGGCUCAACCUGGGAACGGCAUCCGGAACUGUCAGGCUAGAGUGCAGGAGAGGAAGGUAGAAUUCCCGGUGUAGCGGUGAAAUGCGUAGAGAUCGGGAGGAAUACCAGUGGAGAAGGCGGCCUUCUGGACUGACACUGACGCUGAGGUGCGAAAGCGUGGGUAGCAAACAGGAUUAGAUACCCCGGUAGUC